rnacentral:rRNA from 1 species
GGGGGGGGGGGGGGGGGGGGGGGGGGGGGGGGGGGCGGGGGGAGGGGUGGGGGGCGGGGGCCGCUGACGUGAGCGGCGGACGGGUGAGUAACACGGGGGUAGCCUACGGAUAAGACGGGGAGAACGGCGGGAAACCGGAGCGAAUACCGGAUAAUAUAUUGAACCGCAUGGUUCAAUAGUGAAAGACGGUUUUGCUGUCACUUAUAGAUGGAUCCGCGCCGCAUUAGCUAGUUGGUAAGGUAACGGCUUACCAAGGCAACGAUGCGUAGCCGACCUGAGAGGGUGAUCGGCCACACUGGAACUGAGACACGGUCCAGACUCCUACGGGAGGCAGCAGUAGGGAAUCUUCCGCAAUGGGCGAAAGCUUGACGGAGCAACGCCGCGUGAGUGAUGAAGGUCUUCGGAUCGUAAAACUCUGUUAUUAGGGAAGAACAAAUGUGUAAGUAACUAUGCACGUCUUGACGGUACCUAAUCAGAAAGCCACGGCUAACUACGUG